CCUACGGGAGGCAGCAGUGGGGGAUAUUGCACAAUGGGGGGAACCCUGAUGCAGCGACGCCGCGUGGGUGAAGGAGCGUUUCGGCGCGUAAAGCCCUAUCGGCAGGGAAGAAGGAGGACGGUACCUGACUAAGAAGCCCCGGCUAACUACGUGCCAGCAGCCGCGGUAAUCCGUAGGGGGCAAGCGUUAUCCGGAUUUACUGGGUGUAAAGGGGGCGCAGACGGCAGCGCAAGCCAGGCGUGAAAGCCCGGGGGCCAACCCCGGGACUGCUCUUGGAACUGCGCGGCUGGAGUGCAGGAGGGGCAGGCGGAAUUCCUGGUGUAGCGGUGAAAUGCGUAGAUAUCAGGAGGAACACCGGUGGCGAAGGCGGCCUGCUGGACUGCGACUGACGUUGAGGCCCGAAAGCGUGGGGAGCAAACAGGAUUAGAUACCCUAGUAGUC
rnacentral:rRNA from 1 species